rnacentral:tRNA from 1 species
AUUAAUAUGACAGAUAAAUGUAAAGGAUUUAAACUCCUUAAAUAAAUUAAUAUUUUAUUAAUA